GAUAUCGUAAGUUUACGACGGCAAGCGACGUUUGGAGCUAUGGAAUUUUACUUUGGGAAAUUAUGUCGUUUGGUCAGAGGCCUUAUUGGGAAUGGGACAACUUUAAAGUCAUGGAAGAAGUAAAUGGAGGAUAUCGUUUGCCCCCACCACCACAAUGUCCUAACGGUGUACACGGUCUUAUGCUUCGUUGCUGGAAUGAAGAGCGAGCAGAAAGACCAACUUUUGCUCAAAUAAAUAUUGUCAUAGAUAGAUGGU